rnacentral:rRNA from 1 species
CCUACGGGGGGCAGCAGUGGGGAAUAUUGGACAAUGGGGGCAACCCUGAUCCAGCCAUGCCGCGUGUGUGAAGAAGGCCCUCGGGUUGUAAAGCACUUUCAGUGAGGAAGAACGCCUAGUGGUUAAUACCCAUCAGGAAAGACAUCACUCACAGAAGAAGCACCGGCUAACUCCGUGCCAGCAGCCGCGGUAAUACGGAGGGUGCGAGCGUUAAUCGGAAUUACUGGGCGUAAAGCGCGCGUAGGUGGCUUGAUAAGCCGGUUGUGAAAGCCCCGGGCUCAACCUGGGAACGGCAUCCGGAACUGUCAAGCUAGAGUGCAGGAGAGGAAGGUAGAAUUCCCGGUGUAGCGGUGAAAUGCGUAGAGAUCGGGAGGAAUACCAGUGGCGAAGGCGGCCUUCUGGACUGACACUGACACUGAGGUGCGAAAGCGUGGGUAGCAAACAGGAUUAGAUACCCUAGUAGUC